AUUUAGGUGUCAAGUUCUUGGUAUUUUACUCUUUUGGCGCAUAUUGGUUGCCAAUAUAGGUUUGAGAAGUCAUUUUAUAGUUUUCCAACUUGAGUUAGAAGGAUUACAAUGGUAACAGUGGCUUGAGAUGGCAGGGUGUAGUUAUAGAAUGGUAACAUGCUGAGGUAACAUGUACCUUUUACUUUUGUCAUGUAAAAUAAGUAAGCUGUAUGCAUAUAUUACUGAAUUAUUGGAUGUAAUGAUUCACAAAAAUUUUACUUAAAAAAUUAUUUCCUCUUGUGAAUGCAGCAGCCACAAUAAAGAUAGUUUUUGCAAUUUAUAGAUCUUUAAAGUAGAUUGUUUACUUUUGUUAAAUUUGGAGUGAGUUAUGGUCAAAUUACAUAUUAAUUUAUUUUA
rnacentral:misc_RNA from 1 species